rnacentral:rRNA from 1 species
UCCCGUUGAUCCUGCGGGAGAUUGCUGCUAUCAGAGUUUGACUAAGGCAUGCAAGUUCAAGGGUCGCAAGACACUGGCAAACUGCUCAGUAACACGUCAAUAAUCUGCCCUUAGGUCUGGAAUAACCUCGGGAAACUGAGGCUAAUAUCGGAUAUGGGAUUAUUUCUGGAAUGAAGUUUCCCUUAAAGAUUUACGUCUAAGGAUGAGUUGGCGGCCGAUUAGGUUGUUGGUGGUGUAAAGGACCACCAAGCCAGCGAUCGGUAGGGGUCUUGAGAGAGAUAGCCCCGAGAAGGACACUGAGACACAGGCCCUAGCCCCACGGGGUGCAGCAGCCGCGAAACCUUUACAAUGCACGAAAGUGUGAUAAGGUAACUCUGAGUGCUUAUCUUUUGGUAAGCUUUUGCCAAGAGUAAAUAUCUUGGCGAAUAAGUGGUGGGCAAGACUGGUGCCAGCCGCCGCGGUAACACCAGCGCCACAAGUGGGAAUCAUGAUUAUUGGGCCUAAAGCGUCCGUAGCCGGCUUAGCAAGUCUUUUGUGAAAUCGUUGAUUUGAAUUUAACGGCGUGCAAAAGAAAACUGUUAAACUUGGAACCAGGAGGAGUCAGAAGUAUUUUUGAGGUAGCGGUAAAAUGUUAUAAUCUCAAAAGGACUACCGGUGGCGAAGGCGUCUGACUAGAAUGGAUUCGACGGUGAGGGACGAAAGCCAGGGGAGCAAUCCGGAUUAGAUACCCGAGUAGUCCUGGCCGUAAACGCUGCGAGCUAGGUGUUGCACAUUCUCCGUGAAUGUGCAGUAUCGAAGCGAAGGUGCUAAGCUCGCCGCCUGGGAAGUAUGGUCGCAAGACUGAAACUUAAAGGAAUUGGCGGGGGAGCACUACAAGGGGUGCGGCGUGCGGUUUAAUCUAACUCAACGCAGAAAAUCUCACCAGGAGCGACGGCAGGAUGAAAGUCAGAUUAAAGGUUUUACUUGACGAGCCGAGAGGUAGCGCAUGGCCGUCGUCAGCUCGUGCCGUAAGGUGUCCUGUUAAGUCAGGUAACGAGCGAGACCUGCACUCACAAUUGCUAACAAGUCGUUAGAUGAUUGAGCACAUUGUGAGGACUGCCUUGGAAACAAGGAGGAAGGUGCAGGCUACGAUAGGUCUGUAUGCUCCGAAUCUUCUGGGCUACACGCGCGCAACAAUGGUAAGGACAAUGGGAUGCAACUCCGAAAGGAGAAGCUAAUCCUUCAAACCUUAUCCCAGUCCAGAUUGAGGGUUGAAACUCAUCCUCAUGACGUUGGAAUCCCUAGUAAUCGGAAUUCAAUAUAUUCCGGUGAAUAUGUCCCUGCUCCUUGCACACACCGCCCGUCAAACCACCCGAGUAGGGUUUAGAUGAGGCUUAAUUUUUAAUUAUGUCGAAUCUAAGCUUUGCGAAGAGGGUUAAGUCGUCACAAGGUA